ACUGUGAAAGGGACACUCGCUUGAUUAGAAAUCGUCUCAAAUUCCUACACUCGCAGAGCAGCCCGCUCUUUUAAUUUUUAACUUCGUGGGAAGUUGGGAGCCAGAGUCUGUUUUCAUGGCCCAACACUCUGCCCCGGAAGAACAGCUAGAGCUGGUGCCACUCCCAGGAGGAGCCCCAGUACCUGCGGAGAAAUCCACUAGACAAACACCUGUCCGGGGAGCCACACUGGAGCCACCUCACCUCUGGCAGGCCUUUGGACUCAGGCUGGAACUUACGCCAUCAGACCUUCAGGCUUGGACUCGGAACACGGCACCAGCUCUCCUGGGUCUUCACCUUGCAGACGGCAGAACCCACCAUGGGACUUCUCAGCCUCCAUAAUCAUAAUUCUCAUUUUAGGCAUGUCAGCGUGGCUUGACACAUCACAGGUAUGCAUGGCUGAGAACCGAUCACAUUGUCCUUUUUUGGCAAUCAGUACUUACACGAGAGCUCACAGCUGCUUGGUAAAUGAAACGCCCUGGGUGUUAGUGUUGGCUCUUUCUUGCUAAGGAUGAGUGUUAAAUUUACUUUGACUUCAGAUAUGAACGUCCAUCAUACAAACCAUUAUGGGUUGAAUUGUAUCUCCCAAGAAAGGUAUGUUGAAGUCCUCACCUGCAGGACCUCAGAAUGUGACCUGAUUUGGGGACAGGGUCUUCACAGAGCAGUCAAGUUCCAAUGAGGCCAUUGGGGUGGGCAUUUAUCCAAUAUGACGGGUGACCUUAUAAAAAGGAGGAAUUUGGACACAGAGACAGAUAGAAGCAAGGCAAAGUGGAAAGACACAGGGAGAAGGCCUCGUGAAGAAAGAGGCAGCGACUGAAAUUGUGCUGCCAUAAACCAAGAACAUCUGGGGUACCAGACGCUGGAAGAGGCAGGAAGGGUCCUCCCUACAUGUUUCAGAGGGAGCAGGGCCCUGCCAACACCUUGAUUUCUUACUGGCCUCCGGAACUGUGAGGCAAUGACCUGCCUAAGGCACUCAGCCCUGAGACACCAAGACACCAGUGUUGGCUGAACUUACUACUUCCACCAGCCACUGAAAAUGCCGCCAUCCUAUUAACCUUUGCUGCUCCCAUAUCUCUCGGGUCCCCACUCUGUUUUAUUCACCUGGUGUAUUUGCUUCAAAACUGCAGUCAGAGUCAGUGGGUUGUUUGGGGUUCUUACAAUAAACCAUGGAGAUCUGUAUUUAAUAUUACCCUGGACUGACUUAAUAUUACCGUCACUUCCCUUCUUUGUUUAAGUAUCUGUUCAUUUUGUGGAUUCUCCUGGCCAGGACCUGCUGGCUGACCAUGCAGGGGUGUCUACUUUCCCCAUUUGCUGUGCUCUUGUCAUUCCACGGACCGCAUUGGCUAUUUCUCGCUGCUAACGAAAUGUACCUUUGAGGUCUUUGUCUUCUGAAUUCAGGGACGACAAUGUGUUCGUCUUUGUAUCCCCAACAAGGCUUGAUACAGUGUCGCGCAAAGCAGGCCUCAUGAGAAGCUACUGGCAAGCCCCCACAUCCAUUUUCCCAUAUUCUAAUACCCCCAAAUCCUCUGCAGCUAAGCAUGGCUGCGUGCCUGGAUUCUGAUCAACGGGACAUGCGCGACUAGGUCCUGCCUGUAAAGAGAGGUCUGUUCUCCUCUGGCCCUUGCGCGCCUUCCUACUGGCUACAAGUGGCAAUGAGCCACCAUAAGCCACACCCACAGGUGGCAGAGCGAGCAGAUAGAAGGAACCUAAGCCCUCAAACUUCUCUCAAGUGCAGGCUUGGAGGACGUGCAGGCUUUUGC